rnacentral:rRNA from 1 species
GACGAACGCUGGCGGCGUGCUUAACACAUGCAAGUCGAACGGUAAGGCUCCAGCUUGCUGGGGUACACGAGUGGCGAACGGGUGAGUAACACGUGGGUGACCUGCCCUGCACUUCGGGAUAAGCCUGGGAAACUGGGUCUAAUACCGGAUAGGACCGCACCGUGAGGGUGCGGUGGAAGGUUUUUUCGGUGUGGGAUGGGCCCGCGGCCUAUCAGCUUGUUGGUGGGGUAAUGGCCUACCAAGGCGGCGACGGGUAGCCGGCCUGAGAGGGUGGACGGCCACAUUGGGACUGAGACACGGCCCAGACUCCUACGGGAGGCAGCAGUGGGGAAUAUUGCACAAUGGGCGGAAGCCUGAUGCAGCGACGCCGCGUGGGGGAUGACGGCCUUCGGGUUGUAAACUCCUUUCACCAUCGACGAAGGGUUUCUGACGGUAGAUGGAGAAGAAGCACCGGCUAACUACGUG